rnacentral:lncRNA from 1 species
UGAUCUCCACAAACUUUGCACCGUGCCAUAAUUUGUAUCUGUUUAUUACGUCCACGUCAACCUUCAGUUGAUCCCACAAAAACCAAACACAUAUCAUAACUCCCUUUCGCCACUCAAGCAUCACAUUUUGGAUUUGAUGAAGGAGCUGGAACCCCUUGGUCGGCCCCAGCACACGCCAUGCGAAAUAAUAACAGGCCAUUCGCCUUGGAGCCGACCGCCCAAUCACUUGAUCACAUGUUAUGCAACCCAAAAGAUACAAAGAAACAGAGAGAGAGAGAGAGAGAGAGAGAGAGAGGCAGAGAAUAAUAAAAAUAAUAACAGUUUGGCGAGAGAAGAAAAACUACAUUUUCACGCAAGUGGAUGGAUGGAAGUGAAAUGAGCCGAUGACGACGAUGACGACGAUGAACGAACGAAAGCCAGUUGCAGUUUUCCCCCAAAACAGCAGCGUCUGCUGUCCGCUGUCUGCCUCUCGGCUAGCACACGCC